rnacentral:rRNA from 1 species
UGGGGAAUUUUGGACAAUGGGCGCAAGCCUGAUCCAGCCAUGCCGCGUGCAGGAAGAAGCAUCUAUGGUGUGUAAACUGCUUUUGUACGGGAAGAAACACUCCUACGUGUAGGAGCUUGACGUUACCGUAAGAAUAAGGAUCGGCUAACUCCGUGCCAGCAGCCGCUGUAAUACGGAGGAUCCAAGCGUUAUCCGGAAUCAUUGGGUUUAAAGGGUCCGUAGGCGGUUUGGUAAGUCAGUGGUGAAAGCCCAUCGCUCAACGAUGGAACGGCCAUUGAUACUGAUAGACUUGAAUUAUUAGGAAGUAACUAGAAUAUGUAGUGUAGCGGUGAAAUGCUUAGAUAUUACAUGGAAUACCAAUGGAGAAGGCAGGUUACUACUAAUGGAUUGACGCUGAUGGACGAAGGCGUGAGGAGCGAACA